CAGACGCUGCAGCUGCUGCCCCCAUAGCUCCUUUGUGAGCCGAGAUCCCGGUCUGAGCCGCUGCUGCUCCCCAGCGGGGUGUGUCCUUCCCUAGCGCCCCUCUGUGCCCAGCCGGGGGGACUUUCUGCGGGGGCUGGAACCAGCCCCGGGCUCUGCCGACACCAGCCCCUGAGCCGGAGCCUGCAGGCUGGAAAAUAACAUCCAGGUUUCACUCCACAUUUUCCCACCCUCCCUGGGGAUAGCGAAGGGAAAUGGCUGCAGCAUAACAGGCACAGGGACACUACAUUCUCUUUAAUGUGAAGCUGGAAGAUGUGGGAAAGGCCCAGCAGGAAGAGUUAGAAAUUACCCACUAUGAGGAAACAGCCACAUGUGCAGAGGUUUAUCGAAGACCUACUACCAACCCGCAGGACUCCGAAGCCAAGAGUCACUCCAGAAAGUCAGGAGACAGGCAUAGAUUCAUAAGUUCUAAGGCCGUAAUGGACCAUUGUGAUCAUCUAGUCAGACCUUCUGAAUAACGCAGGCCAUAGGACUUCCCUGUAUUAAUUUCUGAUUGAAAUAGAGUGGCUCUUUUAGAAAAACAUCCAAUCUUGAUUUUAAAAUUUCCAGUAAUGGAGAAUCCACUGCAACCCUUGAUAAGUUUUCCCCAAUGCUUAAUUACCCUCUCUGGUAGAAAGUUUGCACCUAAUUUCUAGUCUGAAUUUCUAUUGCUUCAGCUUCCAGCCACUGUAUCUUGUUGUACUUUUGUCUGCUAGAUUGAAGAGCCCAUUAUCAAACUUCUGUUCCCCAUAUGAGUACUUGUAGAUGGGGAUCACGUCACCACUUAUUCAUUUGUUUGAUAAGCUAAAUGGCUUGAGCUCCUUGCGUCUAUCACUAUAAGGCAGGUUUUUCAAUCCUUUAAUCAUUCUUGUGGCUCUUUGAGCCCUUUCCAAUUGUACAGCAUCAUUCUUGAAUUGUGGAUACUAGAACGGGACAUAGUAGUCAAGUAGCAGUUGCACCAGUAACACACAGAGAGGUAAUAUAACCUAUCCAUUCCUACUCAAGUUUCCCCUGUUUAUACAUUAAAAGGGCUAAUGUGAUGCUUCAGGUACAGCGUCACACUGGGAACUCACGUUCAGUUGAUUAUCUACCUUGAGCCUCAGAGCUUUAUCCUGGGAAGCAGUGACUCUGAAAGAGUAUCCCAUUUUGCAAAUACCGCCUGCUUUGUUUCUAGAUGUGGGAGUUUAUAUGGGGUGUAGAGAAACGCAUCUUGUUGGCUGACAUUCAGUUUACCAAGUGAUCCAAAUCUCUGUAAAAUGACUAGUCCUCUUUAUUAUUUACCACUCUUCCAAUCUUUGUGUCUUCUGCAAACUUUAUCAAUAAAGAUUUUGCUUUCUUCCAAGUCAUUGAUAAAAAUGUUAAAUAGCAUAGGGCCAAGAACUAGCCACUGUGGGAUUCCACUAGAAACACACCUGUCCUCUGGCGAUUCCCCAUUUACAAUUACAUUUUGAGACUUAUCAGUUAGUUUAUUUUUUUAACUAUUUAUUAAUUUCUAACAAGUUCACAAAUCCUUGCCUGGUACAUAUCAGACAGAAAACACUUGUUACAAGAGUUAGCUUUUGUUGAAAGAGACAUUAUACAGUUAGACAGUUUUUAAUCUAUAUAAUGUGCCAUGGAGCAGGUCCUCAAGGAAUCAAUUCUGAAGAACUUAGAGGAGAGGAAAGUGAUCAGGAACAGUCAGCAUGGAUUCACCAAGGGCAAGUCAUGCCUGACUAACCUAAUUGCCUUCUAUGAUGAAGUGGUCUAGUGGUUAGGAUUUGGUGCGCUCACUGCCACAACCUGGGUUUGAUUCCCAGUCAGGGAAAAGUGACUUUAUAUCAAAAAACCUUCAGUUAUUCUUCACUUGCAAUUUAAACAAAUCCACGGCGAGAUAACUGGCUGUGUGGAUGAGGGGAAAACAGUGGAUGUGUUAUUCCUUGACUUUAGCAAAGCUUUUGAUACGGUCUCCCACAGUAUUCUUGCCAACAAGUUAAAGUAGUAUGGGCUGGAUGAAUGGACCAUAAGGUGGAUAGAAAGCUGGCUAGAUCGUCGGGCUCAACGGGUAGUGAUCAAUGGCUCCAUGUCUAGUUGGCAGCUGGCAUCAAGCAGAGUGCCCCAAGGGUCGGUCCUGGGACCGGUUUUGUUAAAUAUAUUUAUCAGUGAUCUGAAGGAUGGCGUGGACUGCACCCUCAGUAAGUUUGCAGAUGACACUAAACUGGGAGGAGUGGUAGAUACGCUGGAGGGUAGGGAUAGGAUACAGAGGGACCUAGACAAAUUAGAGGAUUGGGCCAAAAGAAAUCUGAUGAGGUUCAACAAGGACAAGUCCAGAGUCUUGCACUUAAGCUGGAAGAAUCCCAUGCACUGCUACAGACUAGGGACCGAAUGGCUAGGAAGCAGUUCUGCAGAAAAGGACCUAGGGGUUACAGUGGAUGAGAAGCUGGAUAUGAGUCAACAGUGUGCCCUUGUUGCCAAGAAGGCUAACGACAUUUUGGGCUGUAUAAGUAGGGGCAUUGCCAGCAGAUCAAGGGAUGUGAUCGUUCCCCUCUAUUCGACAUUGGUGAGGCCUCAUCUGGAGUACUGUGUCCAGUUUUGGGCCCCACAUGACAAGAAGGAUGUGGAAAAAUUGGAAAGAGUCCAGUGGAGGGCAACAAAAAUGAUUAGGGGUCUGGAGCACAUGACUUAUGAGGAGAAGCUGAGGGAACUGGGAUUCUUUAGUCUGCAGAAGAGAAGAAUGAGGGGGGAUUUGAUAGCUGCUUUCAACUACCUGAAAAGGGGGUUCCAAAGAGGAUGGAUCUAGACUAUUCUCAGUGGUAGCAGAUGACGGAACAAGGAGUAAUGGUCUCAAGUUGCAGUGGGGGAGGUUUAGGUUGGAUAUUAGGAAAACCUUUUUCACUAGGAGGGUGGUGAAGCACUGGAAUGGGUUACCUAGGGAGGUGGUGGAAUCUCCUUCCUUAGAGGUUUUUAAGGUCAGGUAUGACAAAGCCCUGGCUGGGAUAAUUUAGUUGGGGAUGGGUCCUGCUUUGAGCAGGGGGUUGGACUAGGUGACCUCCUGAGGUCCCUUCCAACCCUGAUAUUCUAUGAUUCUGCUGAGAUGCAGCCAUCCAACCUGUACAGUCCCUUCACCCCACAGAAGGUAGUACAAUGUACCACAAACCCAAAACCCUACGCCACUUACCUAUCCAGUGCUUCACUUCCAGAAUCUUCUGCUUCCUGUCUUUCUUGGCUCAUGGGCCAGGAAAUAUUUCUGAGAAGAUCAUUUGGACAUUCUUCUCCUUCAGCGCCCUUCUAGGUUCUCUGAAUUUGACUGUAUUCUCUCCAGUUCAACUUAAAAAUCACAAGUUAAAAAAAAAAUGGUGGUAAUUUUAUUUGCCUUCUGUUUUCUGAGCCCAGGGGGUAGGGAAGAUAUGUAUGUGUGAAGCUCCCUGGUGUGUGUGUAUCACACUGUAUCGACAAAACUCCACCUCCAACAGUGCACAUGGAAAAGUGUGCCCCCCCCACCCCCCCGGCUGCUGGGAUUUACCCUUCUGACUUCUCUAUCUCCCUGCUUAAUCACGACUCUGUUUCCUCUUUACCCCAGCCAGUCUUCUCCUUUUCUCUCCUGCCCUAUAGUUACCUGCCUUUCCCUUUCCAGUUUCCCACCUGUUACAGCUACUGCCCCACGUGCCCCUGCACUGUCUAUUCUCCUGCACCUGCUCAUCCUCCUGCUGGCUGAUUCCCCCACGCAUCCUCCUGGACCCCCCCAGGGUCCCUAUAGCUCCCCAUAUUUCCACUUUUCCUCUGAGUUUCCUGUCCAGUCUCCUAACCACAGAGCCCCAGCCAUAUUCCUCGAGAAGAGCCUGACAUUCACACUGGAAACAAGGGCAGUUGGUGGCCAUCUUUAUUAGGGGCAGCCUCACUUCCACAUGCCAAAUCUGUACGGAAACAGUGGCCAUCUUGAUUAAGGGCCAUUUGACUUCAGCCCCCCCAGACCCAUCCCAAAGUAAUGGGAAAUGACAGCCAUGUCUCACAAAGGGAAAUGUGCGAGUUUUCGACUCCAGGACCCUGAAUCUCCUGCUGGGAGAAACCUCAAGUCUCCAAGGAACCAUCUGACCUCCUCAAAGGGUCUCCAGGAACGGUUUCCAAUUCCUUUAGUUUAUACAAGUGAUGGAAUACACUCCUGUAUUCAUACCCUACACCCUACUGGAAUAAUUUUUGUACAAAGUAUGACUUUUGAAGUAUCUUUUGAAAAUUCAUAAUUUGGUGGUCAGUGUUGUCCUGAUAAAAUAUUUGGCAAUAUUGUAUGUAAAAUUAAGAUUUUCCUGUAGGAUGUUGUUAACACAUGUUCCAAACCAUAGCAGAAGUUGGCAAACCGGUCUGUCCCAAACAGUGUGCUCUGCUUCAUUAGCAUUUAAGCAGUAACUAGAGUCAUCAAGCAGGAAGGGAGACAAAGGGAGCACAAACAGGUGAAGAAAAAAGCAGCAGAGAAAAUCCUUCCACACAGACUCUUUGUCUCCUCGUUCUCAGCUGGAUAUGCUUCUCAAAGGGGGAACAGGACUAUAAAAAAUAGGGGCAGACACCCCAAGAGACCUCUUUUCUGCCUCCCUCCCCCAUUCAUCUCACUCUUUGCACCUGAGCAGACAAAGAAAAUAGCCGUUGGACUAUGGGGGACGGGUCCUGACCCGAAGGUUGGUCAGUAACACUGCUGGAAGUAUGUGGUGAGAAACUUUGCUUCAGAUCUUGUUGUUAGAUGCGAGAGAGCAUCUUCUCUAUUUUUCUUGUCAUUUCUUACUUUUAUGCUUCAUUACUUGUAUUCACUUAAAACCUAUCUCUUUGGAUAAAAUAGUAAAACAAGUUUAUUAACUACAAUCUAGUGUGUUUAACUUGGAGUGUCUGGGUACUUUAUUUAAAGUAAUAAGCAGUCAUAUUAGUACUUUAAGGAAUUAAGGACUUAUUUUAUUUGUAUUGUCCAGGAGAGGGCUGGGUAGUACAGGCCAUACAUUUCUGGAGGGCAAUCUAAGAGUGGGGGUGUGUGGGGGUCACACUGAAGUAUAACCAAGGCUGGUGAGAGUCAGAGUGUAACCCAAGUGUGCCUGGUAGGCUGCAGUUACUUACACUCUCUCUCUCUCCCUCUCUCUUUGAGGAUGUGGUUUGCAUGCUGGUAGGCUGUUUGUGUAUGGUCCUGGUGGGUGCUAGUUCAGCAAGGCAUUGUAAGGCACCCAAGGUUACAGGGCAGGGGUGACACAGCUG